rnacentral:rRNA from 1 species
AUUGAACGCUGGCGGCAUGCUUUACACAUGCAAGUCGAACGGCAGCGCGGGCUUCGGCCUGGCGGCGAGUGGCGAACGGGUGAGUAAUACAUCGGAACGUGCCCAGUAGUGGGGGAUAGCUCGGCGAAAGCCGGAUUAAUACCGCAUACGACCUGAGGGUGAAAGCGGGGGAUCUUCGGACCUCGCGCUAUUGGAGCGGCCGAUGGCAGAUUAGCUAGUUGGUGGGGUAAAGGCCUACCAAGGCGACGAUCUGUAGCUGGUCUGAGAGGACGACCAGCCACACUGGGACUGAGACACGGCCCAGACUCCUACGGGAGGCAGCAGUGGGGAAUUUUGGACAAUGGGCGAAAGCCUGAUCCAGCAAUGCCGCGUGUGUGAUGAAGGCCUUCGGGUUGUAAAGCACUUUUGGCGGGAACGAAAAGGACUGUGCCAAUACCACGGUUCGAUGACGGUACCCGCAGUAUAAGCACCGGCUAACUACGUG